rnacentral:piRNA from 1 species
UGGAAGCUUCCUUCCCUGUC